GCCGGAGCAGGGCUGGGGUACCCAGGCGCAUUCGUAAUGCGUAGGUCGCAGGUUCGACUCCUGUUUCCCGCA
rnacentral:tRNA from 1 species